UUGAAAGGGAAACGAUUGAAGUCAGUCGUACCUGUGGGUAAUCAGCCUUUUGGGUGUGAUUUUGUGGAGUGUGAGGAGUUAAACGCCUUCAUGCCUGCAUAUUCGUGCACUUUGGGUGUAUUUACCCGUGUGGUAAGUUAACAUCAAUUUCGGUGGUCAUAAAAUGGCUGGAGGAAUGUAGCUUCGAUCUUGUAUUGAAGUGUUAUAGCCUUCGGUAGAUGUGAUGAUCGGGAUUGAGGAUUGCAACGGAUACCCCUCGGGGCUACCUGUCUGAUCUCUGAUCGUUGCUCUGGUGCCGAAAGCUUGCUUACGGUUAUCAAAGUCGAUGGUUAAUAGGUUAGAACGGGUUAAAUUCGUUAAGGAUGUUGACGUA
rnacentral:rRNA from 1 species